rnacentral:lncRNA from 1 species
AUCCCCUCCAUGCCACACAGAAAUUCAUCAGCUCUGAGUGUGCGCUGAGAAUACACUCACAACCCCACUCUGUGCCUGGAAGUUUUGAGACAGUAGGUGACACUGACCCAGGCACUGUCAGGGGCUGUUGGGGGCACGGAUGCAACGGAGUCUCCAUUCCCAAUGUCCAGCUCCAGCACUACCACCUACCUCUGUCACGAUGGUGGACAGGAAGAUGUCCUUGUCGUACUCCCAGCCAUCCAGGCAGCUCUCCUGCUCCAGCUGCUCCAGAUCCACGUCCUGUCCUGGCUCCAGCCCCAUCGCAGAGAAGUUGGCGAUGGUGGCCAGUCGGUAGCGGCGGCAGCUCUGAGGCACCUGUCGUCCGUCCUUCGUCUCCAAGGGGAUGCUGUGGUUGCGCCAGGAGCUGCUCAGGUUCACAGUGUCAGGAACCAGGCAACGGUGCUCGGGGGUCCCCGCCAGGAACACGACUGACAUACCAUUGAAGCCAUUGGGGAUGAUGCUGGCGCUGAGCAGAAAGAAGAUGAGGCGCUGGAAGGGCCCCCACUCGCCCAGGAAGGCGAUCACCUCGUCGUAGUCCCGCAUGUUUCCACCUCUCCUCCUCAGCUUGCGUGAGGGAGGUGGGUGGAGAGAAAGGAUUCAGCGAUUGCGGCGCGCUGAGGGGAUCUUCCUAGGUGGCUGCGUGCAAACACGCCGUGGGUGCUGCAAAACUCCCAGGGGUUGGCGCGGAGCGCCGGGAAGCCGAGUCCUCUGGACCACACCCCCGUGCGGCUAGGCAGCGAAAGGCCACUGCACUCCACCGAUCUGGGCGGAGCUCUCGGGCCGGCUCAGCCUCCUGCUCCGUUCCUUGCACCCAGCGGCCUUCCACGCAGGCCUCCCGCCCGGAAUCGGCCGGACAACGCGCGUGCAGCUAGGAGCUCCGGCUUUCUCGGCCCCACGUGGGAGGGAGAGCGACAGGGAGGAGCGUCCCGAAAGCCAGGCCUAGCCCGGAGCAGGAGUUCGUUGCUCCACAAUCCCAGCCUGGAUUAUGAGCAGGCGGACCGGUCAGUUAAUCAAGUCUGCGCUCCCAAGAGACCUGUGUGGGGGACAGGAGCGCCACCUCUUCACACACACCAGCGUGGGAACUCACUUAUGAACCUUAGCAUGGCCGUAGUCCAUCACGGGACGGCGGCGGCCCGAGAAGCGUCCUUGGAAAAGCAGGAUCCUCACCUUGCAAAGAGGCGACUGUGGACCUGGAGCCAGAAAAGGAUGUGCGAGGUCAUGCUGAGUCAGAGGCGCGCCCUGGAUUAGAAGGGCUGGAUCACGGGCCCCUGAGUCGUUCUAGUGUCCUUUCGAAAGAUUCCCUGUGGCCUUUAUAGAGACACCAGAGGGAAGUCGGCCCACUGAGGGAGCAUAGAGGAGUCACCACGCCUGGGCUCGGUGUUUGUCCUUUUGCACUCUCGGGGCACCCGGAGUCCUUUAUUGCGGCACGGUGCCAAAGCCUUCUUGGACUGAAAGGCUAUUUGCAGAAAGGCCCAUUCUAGUCUAGGAACAGAGGGAGGAAGGGACAGAGAGAGGACAAACUGGUGAGAUUUGGCCCUCAGAACUGGCAGGGUAACCAAAAGCGGGAUUGCCUUUUUUCUCUCUCUGCUCAGUAUUCACAUCUAAGGUCCUGGGCACAGUGUACAAGCUAGCCCAAGCUAGAGCUGGGCUCCCCUAGCCUGGGAUCCACAGGCCUGGAGAGACUGUAAGGCUGAGUAGCCCAACACUUUGCACAAACCGGGUUGUCUCAUCAGACUCUGGCAAGGAACUGAAGGAGACUUCUGCUUUUUUCUUUGUUUUUGUUAGUUUCCCCCAUGAGUCCUACUGUUAGGCUGACUUCCCACCAGUAACUUACAUUUCUUUUCCUGUCAUUUAAGCCGCAUCUCCUAGUAUGCCAGGACACUAGCUUUUUACUUUUGUUCGUUUGAGACAGGGUCUUCGGAUGUAGCCCUGGCUGUCCUGGAACUUGCUAUGUAGACCUGGCUGGUCUUGACUCACAGAGCUAGCUCUGCCUGUCUCUGCCUCCCAAGUGCUGGGAUUAAAGCUGUGCACUUCUGUGCCUGGAUCCGUGCUUAUUAAUCCAGUGAGAGUACUCGCAGGGUUUCUUUACUUCUGAAAUGCUUGAGUGGUGGUGUGUUGUGGUCGGAAUCUCACUUAGGUUCUGUUCUUCCACUUCAAAUUACUAACAAACAUAAACAGAGUCAAGAACUAGCUGUUUAUUUUUUGAAGAAUGAUUCCCAAAGAACAAGACUGAAGGACUGAGGAGAGUGAGCAAAGAAGAUGAAGCCACCACACAGAAUGAAGAUGAAGUCACCACAAGACACAGAAUUGAGCUGGGCCUUGGCAGGCUGCAGGGUCAGUGCCCACGCCAUGCACAGGAACCCUCUUGGAACCUGAGGUCCAAUGAAUGAGCAGUGCCAUCUGCCUCAAAAUGUUGGCACUGAUGUCAAACAUGUAGUAUAUACCUAUAAUCCCAGCAAUGGGUAGGUCAAAGUAGGAUGAUUUUAAGUUCAAGACCAACCUGAGCUAUGGUAAGACCAUGUGUC